rnacentral:rRNA from 1 species
GAUGAACGCUGGCGGCGUGCCUAAUACAUGCAAGUCGAGCGAACAGAUAAGGAGCUUGCUCCUUUGACGUUAGCGGCGGACGGGUGAGUAACACGUGGGUAACCUACCUAUAAGACUGGAAUAACUCCGGGAAACCGGGGCUAAUGCCGGAUAACAUUUAGAACCGCAUGGUUCUAAAGUGAAAGAUGGUUUUGCUAUCACUUAUAGAUGGACCCGCGCCGUAUUAGCUAGUUGGUAAGGUAACGGCUUACCAAGGCAACGAUACGUAGCCGACCUGAGAGGGUGAUCGGCCACACUGGAACUGAGACACGGUCCAGACUCCUACGGGAGGCAGCAGUAGGGAAUCUUCCGCAAUGGGCGAAAGCCUGACGGAGCAACGCCGCGUGAGUGGUGAAGGUCUUCGGAUCGUAAAACUCUGUUAUUAGGGAAGAACAAAUGUGUAAGUAACUGUGCACGUCUUGACGGUACCUAAUCAGAAAGCCACGGCUAACUACGUG